CACGUAGGGGGCAAGCGUUGUCCGGAUUUAUUGGGCGUAAAGAGCUCGUAGGCGGUUCGGUAAGUCGGGUGUGAAAACUCUGGGCUCAACUCAGAGACGCCACCCGAUACUGCUGUGACUUGAGUCUGGUAGGGGAGUGUGGAAUUCCCGGUGUAGCGGUGAAAUGCGCAGAUAUCGGGAGGAACACCAGUGGCGAAGGCGGCACUCUGGGCCAGUACUGACGCUGAGGAGCGAAAGCGUGGGGAGCGAA
rnacentral:rRNA from 1 species